ACGACUCCGCCCUCCCCGAGCCGCCGGCCUGCCUCCCGUCGGGCGCCGCGCGAGGUCAGCGCGGGGUCAGCGCGGGUCUGCGGGGUCAGGCGCGCGGCGGUUUCGCGGCCCGGACGGGCGCGAGGGCAGGAUGUACACGCUGCUGUCGGGCCUGUACAAGUACAUGUUCCAGAAGGACGAGUACUGCAUCCUGAUCCUGGGCCUGGACAAUGCCGGCAAGACGACGUUCUUGGAGCAGUCAAAAACCCGGUUUAACAAGAACUACAAGGGGAUGAGCCUAUCCAAAAUCACUACCACCGUGGGUCUGAACAUUGGCACUGUGGACGUGGGAAAGGCUCGCCUCAUGUUCUGGGACUUGGGGGGCCAGGAAGAGCUGCAGUCUCUGUGGGACAAGGCGCCUCGGAAGGGCCUUCCAGUUGGCGGCUGGCCCUGGGGUGGCCAAGUGCCUGUGGCCCAGCACCCCCUUUCUGCCCCUCCCCAGUACUACGCGGAGUGCCACGGUGUCAUCUACGUCAUCGACUCCACAGACGAGGAGAGGCUGUCCGAGUCCAAGCGAGCGUUCGAGAAAAUGGUCACGAGUGAGGCACUGGACGGUGUCCCCAUCCUGGUGCUGGCCAACAAGCAGGACGUUGAGCCUCGCCUUCCCCCAGACUUGCCUCUCGAUCCCCGACAUCAAGACUGCGUUCAGUGAUUGCACCUCCAAGAUUGGCAGGCGCGACUGCCUGACCCAGGCCUGCUCGGCCCUCACUGGCAAAGGGGUGCGCGAGGGCAUCGAGUGGAUGGUGAAGUGCGUCGUGCGGAACGUGCACCGGCCGCCGCGGCAGAGGGACAUCACGUAGGCAUGGCUGGUGCCUGCUGGUGCCCACAGCUCACCCCUGAGUGCCCGAGGAGCGCUCCUGCCAGCUCUGAGCCGCCAGGCCUGGGGGUCGGGUUUGCUUUGCUCUUGGUUUUUUCAGUUGCUUUGUUUUUUCUUUAAGACAAACGUUUCCCUGUGUCCGUAAAAGUGUGGGCAUGCAGAGGCUUCUGCUGAGGGGGAAUCGGGGCGGCAGGGCCAGCCUGGGUGCCACCAGGGGACCCCCACAAGACCCCUGCCAAGCCUGCUGGUGUUGGUGGGCCGCCUGGCCCUUUGGAGCCGCCACCCCAGCAGUGUGGCCUGCCUGGCCCAGGGGGCGGAGGGGCACCUGUCUGGAAACGAGAUGCUCCAGAGCUGCUCUGUGCCGUUCACCCACGGAGGAAGCUGGUGGGGCAAGUGUGUCUGUCCUCAGUCUCCGUCCCCUCUGGGCCUGGAGAUGGGUUGGGGGCUGGUGUCAUCUUGAGGGAGGAGGGAGACCUGGUCCACUUUGCUGGAGGCCAGCGGGGCCCUGGGUUCUGAUGCCUCGGAACGGGGUGGGGGAGAUCUGCCUGGGAGGCCCCGUGUCCUCUUCCGCUGGCCUCCCGUCCAGUCAGGGAGGGAGUGGGUGUUCCCUCUGAGCGUGUCUGCCGCUGGUGCAGGACAGCCAGUCGCCAUUGUGGGGGGCACACCAGCAUGGGUGUUCCAAAGGCCAGCUAGGUUCCUGUGGAGCCCAGGCCAGUUGUGGGAUGGGCCUUGAUUCCCAGUUGGACGUGAGGGGUGGGGUCCCCGUCAGGUCUGGGGACGGGCUAAAAACCCAUUUCCGGGUCUGUGCCUGGAAACUGUCCCUCCGGGUGAGGCUGGUCCUUGGGACCCUCACCACAUGGCCCCUGUGGGAGCUGGCAAGACCCAGUGGGCCUAGCCCUGGGCAGGAGGCUGAUUGGCCAGCACUGGGUGGAGUAUGCCAGAAAAUGGCAGUCUGAGUCGCUGCUGUCUGUUGUCCCUCCAGAACCCCAGGACUGGGUGGUGGGCUCCCAACUGUCUGGGUACAGUGACCGCAGCACGAAGGGCUCCCAGGCUAGACCCAGGGCCUGUCUGGGCACCACCUUCCUGCUUCCGUGGGAGUGCCAGAGCCAGAACCCUGACCCUGCUAGACUACCCUCCCUCCGAGGUAGCAGCCUUGGAGGGCCUACUGAGAAAGGCUGAGUCAGGGCUGGGGGUGGGAAUGCAGGUGAGGUGACUCAUGGGGAGUCAUAGGCUGUGGGGUCCCACCCCCCCACCCCCACCUUGGGACCUAUCAUGGGGAUCAGACGCCAGGCUCCAGGGCUCACGGGAAGGGCUGGGAGUCGGCCAGGUUGUUCUGGAGCACUCCAGCCCUCAUCUGAGCCUUCCUGUGGGGAAAAGCCGUGUUUCCCAGAAAGCACAUGGGAUGCACCCGGCCUAGGGGAGGUCCUUGGCUGGUCCCCUCCGGGGAAAUUCCCUGCCUGCAGGGACUGGGUGGAGCUCAAGUGGAGGGGCAGGGUGAGGGGGAAGGGUCUCUUGGCCCAGGUUAGUGUUGGCCAGUCCAAGCUGGGUCCUAUUCCACAGCAAGAGCCCCUAAACUGGGUAGGACCCUCACGACACUCCCCCCCCCCCCCACCCCCAGCUGUCCUUCGCACAAAGCAUGACUUGGGGUCAUGGGAUGAGCCUCAGGGAUCUCCACUGUGCCCACAGCCACAAGGGAUGCACCUGCCACCCGCUGGCCCUCUCUGACAGUCCUUCCCACCGAGGGUCUAUCCCACUUGGGGUGACCAGCAGCCAGAGGAAGCAUGGGACGCUAGAAAGCCCAUGCAGGUGUUUGUUUCCCCACCAGACGUGCCCGCCAGCACCCGGUAGACAUGGCACAAAGUUUCAUACAAUCCGUUUUAUAACGGCUUUAUAAAAAAUAAACUUUGUUACUGUAA